GACGUAGGGCGCGAGCGUUGUCCGGAUUUAUUGGGCGUAAAGAGCUCGUAGGCGGCUUGUUGCGUCGACCGUGAAAACCCGGGGCUCAACUUCGGGCUUGCGGUCGAUACGGGCGGGCUAGAGUUCGGUAGGGGAGACUGGAAUUCCUGGUGUAGCGGUGAAAUGCGCAGAUAUCAGGAGGAACACCGGUGGCGAAGGCGGGUCGCUGGGGACAUGCUGACGCUGAGACACGAAAGCCAGGGGAGCAAACGGG
rnacentral:rRNA from 1 species